rnacentral:piRNA from 1 species
UGAUGGCUCAUUGGUGCUCAUCUUGUGGCC